rnacentral:rRNA from 1 species
UACGUAGGGGGCAAGCGUUGUCCGGAUUUAUUGGGCGUAAAGAGCGUGUAGGCGGCCAGGUAGGUCCGCUGUGAAAACUCGAGGCUCAACCUCGAGAUGUCGGCGGAAACCAUCUGGCUAGAGUCCGGAAGAGGAGAGUGGAAUUCCCGGUGUAGCGGUGAAAUGCGCAGAGAUCGGGAGGAACACCAAUGGCGAAAGCAAGUACCUGGACUAUUACUGACACUCAGCUGCGAAAGCCAGGGGAGCAAACGGGG